rnacentral:rRNA from 1 species
GUCCACGCUGUAAACGAUGAGUGCUGGAUGUCGUGGGUAUUGACCCCCGCGGCGUCGUAGCUAACGCGUUAAGCACUCCGCCUGGGGAGUACGGCCGCAAGGCUAAAACUCAAAGGAAUUGACGGGGGCCCGCACAAGCGGUGGAGCAUGUGGUUCAAUUCGACGCAACGCGCAGAACCUUACCUGGGUUAAAUCCACCAGAACCCUGCAGAGAUGUGGGGGUGCUCUUCGGAGAAUUGGUGAGAAGGUGCUGCAUGGCUGUCGU